GGAAUACUUUCUGUUCUCUCUGUCUCUAGCUCUCUCGCUGCCGCUCUCUAUCUCUCGAUCGCUCUCUAGCUCUCUCUCUCACUCUCGCUCUAUCUCUCGCUCACUCUCUAUCUCUCGCUCUCUCGUUCUCUCGUUCUAUCUCUAUCUCUUUCUUUCUCUCUUGAUCUGGCUCUUGUUCACUCGCUCUCUCUCUCCCUCUCUUCUCUGUUAGUAAGUCACUCCCCUGUCUCUCUCCCGUGAAUCUCUCCCUUGUCUCUCUCCCCUGUCUCUCUGUCCUGUCUGUCUCUCCGUCUGUCUGUCUCCACAUGUUUAAGAUGAGUUAAGAGGUUAAGUGUUUGGUGUAUUUAUGUCCAAGCUGAAGCUCUGGGGGCAAAGCGGUGCAUGGUGGGAAACCAGAGCUGCCAAAGUGUCUCUCGCUGCACCCGGGCGGGAUGAGAUCCAGCAGAUAAUUGUGAACAGUUGUGUUUUCAUCGCUUCAAGAUGAGUCUGCGGUGGCUUUCGCAUUCUUCCUCCAACACCGUUGAGAUUCUCCCCAGCCUUAAUUCAUUCAUAAUUUAUUCCCUCUCCCGCUGGUGUGUGUGUGUGUGUGUGUGUGUGUGUGUGUGUGUGUGUGUGUGUGUGUGCGUGUGUGUGACUUAAUUUGUUGUGUGUUUGCACGCUUGUGUGAAUACUCGACGAUAUGAAGAAUUGUGUCUGUGUGUGACUUGGUUUGUUGUGUGUUUGAACGCUGGUAUGAAUACAUGACGAUAUGAAGAACACUUGAUUUCCCAGAGAAGCUGGUGUCAUUUCUAAAAUCAAGCUUCCUCCAGGUCGUUCAUGCCUGACUCCUAUUCUUCAGUUGGGGCCGGUGUGUUGGGUGCCGUUGGGGUGGGUUCCUGCUCUGUGUUCCGCUGUCAGGUCGGCCUCCUUCUCUGGAACAACGUUCUGGUCGCCAGGGCUGUGUGGGCGGCUCAGGGUUCCUUUUAGGAGACGCUUACAGCUGAAUAACCCCUCGGAACAUGGCUAACCCGAACCCUUACCAUAACUUAAGCUUCUCUUUAACCGCUAAAUUAAACCUGAAACUAAACCAUUUACAACUGGAGGCCGAAUCAAAAGGGUAAACGUUUCUAAUGCAUCAUGGAAAAUUAGCUGCCUCACCUCAUUCGUCUCUCUCUUGCUCUCUCUCUCUUUCUCUUUCUCUCUCACUCUCUCUUUGUGUCUCUUUCUCUCUCUCUCUGUCUCUCCCACUCUCUCUUUUUGUGUCUCUCUCUCUCUCUGUGCGUGGGCGGUUCUGAGGCCUUGGUUACCCCCCCCCCCAACGCCCAGCCAAACACAAGCUAACAAAUAGCAGCAGCUCCCCCAACUUUAUUAGUUUGGUGAGGAACACGGACACUGGGGGCUUUGCUUGGCCGUCCAAUCGAAGAGAUGCAGACGUCUGCCAGGAAAUACUGGGAACAGACAAUCUUUCUCCUUUCAGUUCUUUUCUUUUAAAGCAGUUCUGUCCUCGGUGUGUUGAGACGUCUAACCUCCACAAACGCUGUGGCUUGUUUUCACAGUAACGCUUGGUUUUAUUACCAAACUGUAGCGGCCGAAACAUUAAAAAACACCUGAAACACAAUCUUCUCCGACAGCAGUCGAGUUGAGCUCCUGAGUCCUCAGGAACAUAUACCUGCCGCAGAACAGGAAGGAAGCUUCCUGUCCUCAGCCUCCAACAACAGGAAGUCAAUAAAGCCCACGCAGACAGCCAUCUUAUAGGCUCUUAUUGUUUGUUAUUGUCGGAUUUGAAAAGCAGGUGUCGGCUGAUAUAUUGGGGCAUAAGCGAGAUUGGAUCAGAGUAAAAGCAUCUCCAUAGAAACGGAGAGCAGAGGAGAAUGUUAUUUCGUUCCCCUGAGAACCGUUUUUAAUCUUAAUCUUAUCGCAGCAGCAGCCGUUGAGUGGCGACCAGCAGAAGGUCCCAGAACUGGUUUGAGCCGGUCUGUGUCGUCUUUGUUACUUUAAUCAGUACUGACCCUUUCUCCCGCUAUUCAGAACAAUCUGGAAAUACUUUCCACUCCUUAAUCCCCGCCUCUUAUUGUUCAUAUCUCGGAGAGCCUGAUUAAAACCCGGACACUGUGGGGAACCCAGGGUUCUGCUGCCCUGAACUCACGUUUAACACUGGUUACCUCAGCGCCGCGGAGCUAGCACAUUCUAGCCGAGAUGCUAACGGUAGCAUUAGCUAGGCGUGUCUCUCUUCCGUUCCUACAGCAUAUGCCAACGAUAGCAAUAACUCGGCGUGGCUCUCUACCGUUCCUACGGGAGAUGCUAGCGGUAGCAUUACCUCGGCGUGGAUCUCUACCGUUCCUACAGGAGAUGCUGACGGUAGCAUUAGCUAGGCGUGUCUCUACCGUUCCUAGAGGGGAUGCUAACGGUAGCAUUAGCUCAGCGGUGUCUCGCUACCGUUCCACACAGUCUGGAGGUGAGGUAGACUCUGGAGGUGAGGUAGAGUCUAGAGGUGAGGUAGAGUCUGGAGGUGAGGUAGAGUCUGGAGGUGAGGUAGAGUCUGGAGGUGAGGUAGAGUCUGGAGGUGAGGUAGAGUUGGAGGGGAGGUAGAGUUUGAGGUGAGGUAGAGUUGGAGGUGAGGUACAGUAGGUAAAGUUGAUAUGUGUUUUGUCGGGUUGCCACUGCCAGAUUGGGGAAACCCCCCUUCGGAUGCUGGUUGUCUUUUGGUUCUGCCAAGCACAUUAUUAUCUGAGGGUUAAUCUCACUGCUCUCCAGAGUUUCCCCACAAUUACAGCCGAGGAAUCGACCAAAAGAACACACUUAACUCUUGUUGAGCUGUUGACGUUCUGGAGAUGGUCUCUGAAACCUAAUGAAUUUAUCCUAAGCCCCGCUCCUCCUGACAACAUGUCUGCCUAAUCUUGAUGACCAUUUACUGAUGAACAGGAAGUGCGUUAUUAGGUAGCAUUACCAUCAUUAGAAGUCAGCUACAUCCACAUCGUUUCCUUCUAUGUGGUCUUCUGUGAUUGUGAUUGGUCCAGUGGGGCAACAAAUUAAAUCAUAGAGGAGGCAGGGCCUCAGUUAACUGGAAAAUAUUCUGUUCCUGCAAAGGUUGGGGUUGAUUAUAAUCACAUUAUUAAAAUAUUAGUAUGCAUUCUUUGCUUAUAUUGAGAUUAGGGUUAGCCUUAGCUAACUCACAAUCAAUGUAAUAACAAACAAAUCUAUUAGCCGUCUCAUUUCUGUUAGCAUGUUUCUCCUUUCCAACCGAAACGCCACAAGCCCCGCGUCCUCUGUGAUUCUAUUGGACAGUUCACUGGUCCAAUCGUGUGUCUGGUGAACACACGAUUGGACCUGACUUACCUUAGAGUGAGUAAGUCAGUGUUUGUGUCGGCCUAUAAGAGCCAGCGACCCAAAAAUGCGUCGGCUGUCCGUGUGUUCGGAGUGAGAGGCAGUGUUGAAUGCUGGGUAUUCUCUGAGGGCUGCACUGUGAUUGGGCGGCUUCACAGAGAAGCAGAGCCAGCGUUAUUAAAUCUCCUCCAUUACUGCUGAUCUCCACCGAGGGACCGGCAGUCCUCAGAGAGGCUGCUCUCAUAAACACACACACACACACACACACACACACACACACACACACACACGCACACACACACACACACUAGGCUAGACACACAUACACACACACUAGGCCAGACACACAUACACACACACUAGGCCAGACACACAUACACACACACUAGGCCAGACACGCAUGCACUAGGCCAGACACACAUACAAACACAGUACCUUCUAGUGUUGUCUUGAGGUUUUUAUGUGUUUGGCCCAGUUGGAGAUAAAUGAUGAUCUUCUCGUUGUCCGGCUCGUUCAUCCGGUUGUAAAUUCGGCAGCGGAGGAAAGUUACAAUGUUGUAACUUUAGAUGAGUCUGUGUCUGUUACUGCUCCCAGGACCCCCCUCUUCUCCUUGUGUUACCUCCCUGCUCUGCUCACUCACAGGAGCUACGGCGGACACGCUCGGCGCUAACACACUAGCCGAGCGCUAACACACUAGCCCAGCGCUAACACCCCUCACCACGACACACACACACCACCGUACGCCGGACAUGCUAGCCCUGCGCUAACAAGCUAGCCCUGCGCUAACACGCCUCACCAAAGACACAUACACACAACUUUACAACAUGCUAGCCCUGCGCUAACAAACUAGACCUGCGCUAACUGCCUCAACACCUACACACACGCACCACUUUACAACACGCUAGCCCUUCGCUAAUAGCGCCGCGCUAGAUGCAUUAUCUGCAGCUAGCGUGGAUGUUCUCACCGCCUGCUAGGAGGACAUCAGACCGUCCCACUGGGCGGUCUGUGUGUGUGUUUGAGAGAGAGAGGGGGAGUGUGUGUGUGUGUUUGUGUGUGUGAGGGGGGGGGGGGAGUGUGUGUGUGUGUGUGUUAGUGGGUUUGUGUUGCUGUAUAGUUGUGUGUGUUUGUGUCUGAGAGAGACUGGGUCUGUGUGUGUGUGUGUGUGUGUGUGUGUGUGUGUGUGUGUGUGUGUGUGUGUGUGUGUGUGUGUGUGUGUGUGUGUGUGUGUGUGUGUGUGUGUGUGUGUGUGUGUGUGUGUGUAAAUUUGUGUUCUGAUGCAUGUGUGUGGCAGAGAGGGUGUUUGUGUGAGUAUAUCAGAGUUUGUUGAUGCAAAUGUAUAUAUGAGAGAGUGUGUUUGGAUGUGUGUGUGUAUCAGAGAGUGUUUUGGUGUUUGUGUGUGUGUGUGUGUCAGAGAGAGGGUUUUGAUAUUUGUGUGUGUGUUCGUGUAUAUCAGAGAAAUUGUGUGUGUGCAUCAGAGAGUGUUUUGAUGUUUGUGUGCGUGUGUGUUUGUGUACAUCAGAGUAUGUGUGUCUCUAAUGGGUUGCGGGUGGCUGUGGGAACAGGAGGGUAUCCUCUGUGUUCUACUGACCCUGAAAGCUGGCUGGCCUACAUUCUGCGUCACGCCACUUUGCAGCCAGACCGGCCCCUCCGGACCUCCGUGUGGGUGUGGUUUGUGUGUGUCUGUGUGUCUGUCUGUCCGUGUGUGUGCGUCUCCUAGUGUGUUUGUGUGCCUGCGUUUGCCUGCGUGUGUGUGUUGAUGUUUUGUGCUGUCCUGACCAGGGUUUAAUUUGUGUCCACGACGGGGAAUUAAAGUUCUGCAACUAUGAAGUCCUUAUAAGGACUUCCUGUCUGUUCCUGUGGGCUGUGGCCACGCCCACUUCAAUCCCAGUCUAUAAAGUGCUCCCUAAACUUAGUGCCCGCCCGGUUAAUGAGGCACCACCUCAUUGGCCGGUUUAAUGAGCUGUCUACUAGAUAACUUCACAUCUAAUUUGAACUGUGAUGUGAGGGAAACAUCUGAGGUCAAGCGCCAACAUCCACGCAGUGUUGUAUAGUAGCGAAGUAGAAAUACUUUGUUACUGUACUUAAGUAGUUUUUUUGGAUAUUUGUACUUUACUUUACUACUUAUAUUUCUCUGUACUUUUACUUUUACUUCGCUACAUUUUGCGAAGAAAACGGAUACUUUUACUCCGCUACAUUUCCCUUGAAACCUUCGUUACUCGUUACAAAAUCAACUCAUCUUUAGAAAAAAAAAAAUGAAUCAUGAGAGAUAUGAGAAUAACGUCGGGGACUGUGGUAGAACACAGACUGCGAGCCUGUUUGGCGAA